rnacentral:rRNA from 1 species
CAGCAGCCGCGGGAAUACGGAGGGGGCUAGCGUUGUUCGGAAUUACUGGGCGUAAAGCGUACGUAGGCGGCUUUGUAAGUUAGAGGUGAAAGCCUGGUGCUCAGCACCAGAACUGCCUUUAAGACUGCAUCGCUUGAACGUCGGAGAGGUGAGUGGAAUUCCGAGUGUAGAGGUGAAAUUCGUAGAUAUUCGGAAGAACACCAGUGGCGAAGGCGGCUUACUGGCUCAUACUGGACGCUGAGGUGCGAAAGCGUGGGGAGCAAACAGGAUUAGAUACCCGCGUAGUCCCUGUCUCUUAUAC